UACAGAGGGUGCGAGCGUUAAUCGGAAUUACUGGGCGUAAAGGGUGCGUAGGUGGUUUGGUAAGUUAGAUGUGAAAUUCCUGGGCUUAACCUGGGGACUGCGUCUGAUACUGCUGAGCUAGAGUACUGUAGAGGAAAGUGGAAUUUCCGGUGUAGCAGUGAAAUGCGUAGAUAUCGGAAGGAACAUCAGUGGCGAAGGCGACUUUCUGGACAGAUACUGACACUGAGGCACGAAAGCAUGGGGAGCAAACAGG
rnacentral:rRNA from 1 species